rnacentral:rRNA from 1 species
GGGUAACCUGCGGAAGGAUCAUUG